GGUCCCAUGGUGUAAGAGGCAGCAAUCAGGACUUUGAAUCCUGCAAUCUGAGUUCAAGUCUCAGUGGGACCU
rnacentral:tRNA from 1 species